rnacentral:rRNA from 1 species
UGGGGAAUUUUGGACAAUGGGCGCAAGCCUGAUCCAGCCAUGCCGCGUGCGGGGAGAAGGCCUUCGGGUUGUAAACCGCUUUUGUCAGGGAAGAAAUCUUCUGAGUUAAUACCUCGGGAGGAUGACGGUACCUGAAGAAUAAGCACCGGCUAACUACGUGCCAGCAGCCGCGGUAAUACGUAGGGUGCAAGCGUUAAUCGGAAUUACUGGGCGUAAAGCGUGCGCAGGCGGUUUUGUAAGACAGAGGUGAAAUCCCCGGGCUCAACCUGGGAACUGCCUUUGUGACUGCAAGGCUUGAGUGCGGCAGAGGGGGAUGGAAUUCCGCGUGUAGCAGUGAAAUGCCGUAGAUAUGCGGAGGAACACCGAUGGCGAAGGCAAUCCCCUGGGCCUGCACUGACGCUCAUGCACGAAAGCGUGGGGAGCAAACAGGAUUAGAUAGCCCCUGGUAGUCCACGCCCUAAAACCGAUGUCAACUGGUUGUUGGGAAGGUUCCUUCUCAGUAACGUAGCUAACGCGUGAANUUGACCGCCUGGGGAGUACGGCCGCAAGGUUGAAA